UUAACCUUCUCUCUCGGUCUGUCUCUUUAUCUCCAUUGAUAUUUUCCAUAAUCAAAUUUUGGUACGCCCAAAUUACAAAUCCAUGAUAAUUUUGAAGAUUUCUUUUCAUGUUCUAGUCUGAUUGAAAUUUUCACUUCUUUUUCUUCUCUUCGACAAUAUUUUGGUUUCGAAUAGACCUAAGUGGACAAUUGACGCUUCAUUAAGGUAAGACAAAUUUGCCAAAAUUUUUUGUAACCCAAAUUUUGCUAGAAAUUGAUAGAGAUUGCUAGAAAUUGCUAUAUAUAUCACUACUAGAAUUUAUGCUUUUAACGACCAAUAAAUAACGACGUGAACAGAAAAUCAUCGUUAAUAUAGCCAAAAUAUUUUUCUUGUUACGCGCGGGUCAUCUUGAAUUUCUAAACAUUUAAACAAAAAAAAUUGGGCGGAUAUUUUUCACCUUUGUCCGUCGUUAAUGUCUGGACUUCAAAGCAUUUAUAUAAUUCCACUAAAUCCUCUCCAAAACCUAAGAUUGAAAAGAUAAAACCCUCGAAAAGUUUAACGGGAGGCCAUGGCUGGAGUCCAUUUAGAAGUACAAACCAGGUUCAAUGCCUGUUGGCUGGUUGCACACUAAGUGUCUAUGCUUUACAACCUAGAUACAAAUCAGGAAAAAAAAGUAAGAACUUACUGUUUAAUUGAGUAGUCGGAUCUUUAUAUCAUGUUGCAGUUAUGCUGAUCACAUGUUUGAAAAUUAGUAUUUGCUACUAGCUCGUAUUACUUUCAAAUUAUGCCUGAUUUAAUGUGAUCGCAAGAAAGUUUCUUUUAGUCAUAAUUAUUUACAGGCCUGUUAGAUUACAAGCCUGUGAAUUAUUAAGCUUCGCCUAGAACAUGGCAUCCCAAAUAUUGUUACAGGCUUGUAAAAAACAGCUUCUGAGGGUAUGGCUUGUACGAGCUUAAGUGCACAAGCAUAAAAGCGAAUAGAUAACAUCAGGUGUGACCGUGUGAGGGUAUAUAUUACUAGUAUAUGAUUUUUUGGUUUCAAUUUCUUAUUUAAGUUAAGAUAUAAGUAAGUUGUCCUAAUAAAUGGAGAUUUGAGAAACAAAACCAAAAAUUCAGCAUGUAUGGAUAUGAAACUAAACCAAACCUCAGCUUGUAUGAGCUUGUGCACUUGCACUAGUAAGUUGCAGCAUUAAAUGGAUUAUCAUAAACUAAACCAAAACUUCAGCAUGUUUUGAUAUGAAACAGCCUAAUAUGAAGUAUAUACUUUGCUUCAUUUGUCACAUAACUCAUUCCAUAUAGCUAGCAGCUAAGUCAAAUGAGAUAUUCUUCAAGUUGGCCACUUUUAGGGAAAAUAAAUGGUACAAUAACUAAACAACACAUGUUUAACUUGUGAUUUGCAAGAGGGCAGCAAGAUUAAACUUCUUUUUUGUUGGUUUUGUGGUCUGAUGUCACGCUGUUUAACAGGUACCAAGGGUCAGGCCUGUUUCUCACUGAAGUCAAACCCAGUUAGCAGACAACAGACCACUAGCUAGCUAAGUUAUCCAGGCUCUAAAUUUCACUCAACAUAACCCUGUCAGAUCACUGGCAUUUUGACAUGGAUAUGGACAUAGAUAGUGACCCAAUCAUAGGAUGUUUUUCAUAAAAUAGCAUAAUCUAACCACUAGGACGUGAACUAUAGCCACCAGGACCUGAACCAUAGCCAGGAAAAUGUUAGUCUUAAAUUAAUGGCCUGAAUAGAGAAGCUUCACACUUGUUCUUCUGCAAAUCAUUUGGUUUCCUAAACUCUGAUUGUAUUUCUCUUCAUUUGGUAAUUUUACUCUGAUAAUUCUUCAUAGAAUCAUGGUUGCUACUUUAAGAUGCAGAGAAAUACUAUGUUUACCCUUAUUUGAAAGAGUAAAUUACUUUUUCAACUUCAUAGUAAAUUACUCUGAUAAAUUUCAAGCACCCAAAAUAAGGUAAAUAUUUCUAUCUUUAGCAUUCUGGCACUAAGUAAGAGUUUAGCUUACAACUAAGCUAGAACAGGAUGACAUAUAUUACGUGCACGAGGAACAAAUCAAUAAUACUACUUCUGCAACUUUUAAUGGAAAACUAGUGAAGUAUGACAGUCUACGGUAUGAAAUCCUUCCCAGUUUCUUAGAUAUAAAAUACAAUCACAAUUUACAACUUAGUUUGUUUUGCCUAAAAUCCUUCCAUUUCCGCCGAACUUGUGGGUUGGAAAUGAGGGUCCAAUCCUUGGUGUGUUCCCUGUUGGCAGCGUUGUUAGCUUCUAUGGCAUCCAUGUAAACUAUAAUCAAUACAUUGUACUGCAUAGAGUGUUAUUAAUCUAUUAUAGCUUGUGUUAUGUUAGUCAUACUAAUCAUUUUCAAUGUAUGUUUUUAUUUAUAUUAAAUUUGUUUGUGGUUGUUUUUAUAUUUUUAACCUGAUGCUGUUGCACUUAAUUUAGUUUCUAUUUUUUGUUUUUCUCCUCCUAAUUCCCAUGUUUAUACGUGUUGUAGGAGGGAAUUAAGAAAAUAAUGUAAGAAGAACCAACACUUUUCCAUGUACACGUAUUUAUUCUCAUCUAUAUCCUUUUCUGUUUUAUUUUUACUUUCCCAUGUUAUGAUAUUUAACUUUUUUUUUUGCUUCUUUAUAUAGAUAGCACAAAAGGUGAAAUUUGCUACUAUUUGCUACUAUUUUGUAAGGCUUGUUUUGGAUUAUGCUACUUUCUCUCCCUUGUAUUCUCUCUGAAAUUUCUGUGAUGUGAAUUACUAAUACAAAGACCCUUGAUAAGCUUGAUGGUAUGUUUACAUGGUAGUUACUGAUACAAAUUAGAUCUUAUAGUGCAUAGUAAUUUGUUCCUUGGUACUAUCAUAAGCACUUGUUUCCAAAUUGAUUUAGUUAGCAUUUGUUUCUAUGUAGACUAGAAAGCAUCAUUCUUCUUUUACAUUGUCAGGAAAUAGUCCAAAAACUUGUAGUUGUAGCUGUUAUGUGCAACUGUAAUGAAUCUCAUGUUAUCCAGAGUCUAUUUUGUUUAUGCGAAGAAGUAUUAUUGGAUUUAGAGUUCCAUUUUACUAAACCAUCUACUUCUUUAUCUCGUCGUUUAGAUCUAGUUCUGAUAAAGAGUACAAGAACAUUGCAAGCAGAGACAACAUGUUAAUGGUCACUUUUGUUUUCAGGCUCUAGAUGAUAUGGCUGCUUACUUCUUCAUACUAAUGUUGAACCUUGUUUGUUGUUGUGAAAUGAAAGUGGUUGCGGUGCUGAAAGAUUGUGAGGGGGGUACUAGAGCCUAGCAGAUAUAUGUUUGUGCAUGCAAGUAUGUUAUUUGGCACCAUUUUAUACUGUUGAUAUUUUCGAGGUUUUGUAGCUAUAGGAUGAGCUGCUUAGUUAUCAUGUGAAUCUGGCUAAAUUAAGAUUGUUGUUCAUUGUGAACCUGUGUUUUCUUAAGUUUGUAGAGGAUUUUCUUACUCUUUUAUAAGAUACUAUUCAAAGGAUAUUCUUAUUGGAUAUGAUAUUUAAUUCUGUAUUGUGUUCACUCUAAUGAUUUAUGGAAUGUUUUUUUCCAUUUCACUUAAACUUAUUCUACUUGUUGGACACUGUAGGUAUUAUACGGUCUCCAUCACCUAUGAAAGAAAGAUCUAGGUCUCACUCUAGGUCUAGAUCCAGGUCCAAAUCUAUGUUUCCUCCUAGACAUCGGUCUCGUUCUCGUCCCAGGUCAAGGUAUGCGGGCCGUGGCAGGUUAGCUUGAAGCUUGAAAGGCACUUUUGUUGUUCACUUUUUUCUUGACUGCCAACUCUUUAUGCAACUAGCAGGAUUGAGAUCCUCUAGAGUCACUCACAAAAGGUGUUUAAGUCGUCUCGUGAUAGGGUUUUGGAGGAGGAAUAACACUUAAAGAAAUAUCAGGACCACAACCAAGUAGGGUGUAACUUCAAUAUAAGUUGAGUGAGGCAAACAAACAAAAUUGUCUUCUUACCAAUCGCGUGGAUACAUUACAAGAAGAAAACAAUGCACUUAAGAGUCGCAUGAGUUCAGUUGAAGUUGAGCUUAAUGAGCUUAAAGCAUUUAAAGAAGUGCUCUUACAACGCUUUUCAAGAGAUGACACUCCAAGAGAGAGCAACUCAACUAGUUACCUCAACUAGUUACCUCAACUAGUUAAAUUUUAUUUUGUUCUUCUAGAUUGAACAAGAAUUAUUUGUUUUUAGUUUUUAAAUUUAAAGACAAAGGAUGUGAUUUUUGGUUUUGCAUAACUUGAAAUUCUAUUGUCAAAAAUCUUUUGAGUAAUGAAUUUUCAUUUGUGUUAA